GGGCCCUGAGCCGUGAGGCGCAGGGCGAAGAUUUCCACUCAGAAAGAAAGAAGUGAAUUGUCUGAGAUGUUUAGGCUCUUAGGUAAAAAAAAAAAAAAACAACGUAUCCUAGAAAGUAAAUUAAUAUUUGCGUUCCUGACGAACGUUCCCACUCGGAGCGCUCAGUGAAUGCUUCUAGAAUAACUGAACCACACAUCUAAUAAAGGAGUUUCAGUGAAUAUUAGCGACGGCACUAAGAAGAAGACAAGAUGCUUGUGCCGGGGGCUGUCCGCUCCCUUUCGUCUUCCACCCGCUGGAACCUUCUGGCAAGAAGGGGAGAAGAAUGACAAGAGCAAAUUUGCAACACUCAUUUUGAAAGUCCAAGUUACUUCUUACCUGCCUUAAUCCUUGCUGGAGAAAACAACUGAGCCCUGAGAAGUGAUGCUGCGUUGCAUGAACUGUAUUUCUCCUGGAAAUGCUUUAAGAUCUUCAAGGAGGUCAGACCACAGCACAACAGACAUCUGGAGGAGAAAUGCCCAUUUCCAUUCAAGCAUUGUUAUCCUGGGAAGCACAUAAGAGGCUUAAGCUUCAUGCCUUGAUGCAACGAGGCAGGACGGGUUGGGAGCCGGCAGAAGACAUAACACCGUGUCAUUUCUGUGUCUAGAAGGAAAGGAUAUUUGCACUGCCAGGUGGACUGUUAAAGCUGAACUCUCAGGAGCAAGAGACUAGCCCCAGUGAGCAAGUCAGGCUUUCCUGUACCCCAGCGGACUCUCAGGGGACCCAGCUUCAAUGGUUGGUGGCCCUGGAGGGAAAAAUGUACUCUUUUAGACAUGUCAACAUCCUCUGACUCAUAAAAUAUUGAGAGGUGUUUUCAUCAGCGCUGCUCUGAGAGGUAAGAAUUGAGCUCAUUGCCCGUGGCAGGAAAUAGACAAGAUAAUAAGGAUUUGGCUUUAAAAUACUAGACAUAGUCAUGGCAAAAUUGAGAAAAAGGUACAGAGAUUUUUCAUAUAACCCCUGCCCGCAUACGUGCACAGCCUCCCCCAUUGUCAGCAUCCCCCACCAGAGAGGUACAUUUGUUACAACUGGUGAAUCCACAUUGACACAUCAGGAUCACCCAAAGUCCACAGUGGACAUUAGGGUUUGCUCUUGGUGUGGUACAUUAUGUGCAUUUAGAAAAAUGUGUAAUGGCAUGUAUCCACUCUUAUGGUAUCAUACAGAGGAGCUUCAACUGCCCUAAAAAUCUUCUGUGCUCUAUCUGUUCAUCCCUCCCUCCCCCAACCCUGCUCUAAAAAACUGCUGUAAAAAAGAAAGCCUAUUUAAAAAAUUAAAACUGAAAAUCUUAAAACUAAAACUGCCUAAAAAAUAAACUCUUAAAAAAAUUCUGUUAGGGUGGUCAGAGGAAAAUGUAUCCAAUUAAUCUUACAGUUUCUUGCCUCCAGGGACCUCUAAAAUAGGCAAGGAGGACCGGAUGUGAGUGGUGUUUCCACGUGGGAUUGUGUGAGUUGCCUGGGUUAGGCAUGAGCAUCUGAUGCAACAUCCAAGACUUCUCCCAGCAUUUUCCAAAAACUGCCCUUUGACCCUGCCCACCCCAGAACUGCCCCCACUCCUCAUCAACUACCUUGGCCCUUUCUCCCUCUGGAGAAUCUACCAGGCUUCCAAACUGGUCUUUCUGCCCCAACUCUUGCCCUACUGUCUCUCGGCCAUGGGUUUUUUUGUUUUUGUUUUUUCUAUAAAUACAGUCUAGUACUAUUUUCUCUUCCUUGUGAUUUUCCUAAUAACAUUUUCUUUUCUCUAGCUUACUUUAUUGUACGAACACAGUAUAAUAGGUACAACAUGCAAAAUAUGUGUUAAUCGGCUGUUUAUGUUAUGGGUAAGGCUUCCAGUCAACAGAAGGCUAUUAGUAGUUAAGUUUUGGGGGAGUCAAAAGUUAUACUUGGAUUUUCAACUGUGCAGGUUAUUGGCACCCCUAACCCCCCAGCUAUUCAAGGCUCAGCAGUACUUGGUCCCUGCUGACCUCCUCCUGACCUCUCUCCCUUGAUCCUAUGAUUCGCCCACACUGUCUGUCCUUGAAUACUACAGUUUGUUUCUUCCUUGGGCUUGUUGUGCUGGAGUCCCUUUUUCUUUGAAAGUUCCACUCUCAGAAUGUCUCAAGGUUGCCCUUUUUGUACCAUUCAGUCUUCAGGUCAAAGGUCAUCUCUUCAGACAGGCCUUUCCUGACCAUCCAGUAGGAUCUUCCAUCUGUCACUCCAUUACAGUACUCUAUUUUUAUCUUCAUCACCAUUACCAGUAUGUAAAGCCAUCCUACUUAUGAAUUUAUAUUCCAGUUGGGGAAGGCAGACAAUGGCAGUUUGAGGUCAGAAACAUAGGGUUCAUGGAGCACCUGGGUGGCUCAGUCGGUUAAGUGUCUGACUUCGGCUCAGGUCAUGAUCUCAUGGUUUGUGAGUUGGAGCCCUGCAUCACACAUCAGACUGUUCUGACGGCUCAGAGACUGGAGCCUGCUUCGGAUUCUGUGUCUCCCUCUCUCUCUCUCUCUGCCCCUCCCCAACUUGCACUCUGUCUCUCUCUCUCUCUCACUCUCAAAAAUAAACUUAAAAAAAAAAAAAGAAAAGAAACUUAGGGUUCACUACUGUAUCCCCAGCACCUAAGAUAGUGCCUGGAAAACUAUGGGGAAAAAAACGUCAAACUGCUACAGACUUUGUACUUAUUUCAGUUGGCCCUUGAUGCCACUGGGCCAUCCUUCUGUGUACUUCGACCAGCUUCUCCUAUUUCUCCAAAGUGGAUACUGCAAAUGUCUUCCACUCCUCAGGCUUUCCCUUGGGUACUGGUCUCACUCUCCCAGAUGAAAUGACUUCCCCUGAGGCCCUUCUACGUUGAUACCCAGACAUGUCAGAAAGAGAGGAGCCUCUUUGCCUUGCUUAUGAUUCCCUUGUCCCCUCCCCCCUCCUCUGGGCUUUCAUUCAGCCAGUUACCCCUUCCUGGGUAUUCUCCAGUCUCUCAGAAUCCAUGCUCCAUCAGCCUGAAAUCAAGUGUGCCCCAUCUUUUUAAAACAAGACCUCCUAGACCUUCUGUCACCUUUGAGCUGGUUAUUCUCAUCCCUUCACAGCCCAUGUCCUUGGAUUUGUGGUCUGUAUUCAGUUGUCACCCUCCACACUGCUGCAGAGUGACUUUUGCCCUACCACUGACUCUGCCCUUGGUUAGGUCGGUCAGCCUCAUUGCUAAGUCUGUACUUCACCUUUACCUUCCUUCACCUAUUCAGCAUUUGACAUAAGCUUCUCAUCAGGAAAGAGUGCACUGUUGUUUUUUUUUUUCUUAGCCCUUUCAAGAGGACCAGCAGAGUUUUAUUCAAUUCCAUGCAUUCUCUAUGGGGGCAAUGUCACCCACAAGGGGACAAAAAUUGGUCCUUAUAGAGAAAAAAUUGCAUAUAAUUUAAGAUUAUGUAAAAUUUUAGCCAUUAGAUAAUGGUUCCUGGCCCUCCAAAGGCCCACAGUACACAAACAGACACAUGGUGUAUCUGUGAUAUUAAAUUUUCAUGGGGGAGAAGGACGAGAAUUGGAUGAAAAAAUGUUUUAAAAUACCCUGGGGGGGGGGUGCUGCAAUAAUAAAACAGGUGGGAAAGAGUGCCGUAGUCGGCUUCAUGAAUUGCUCAUCCAGACCCCUAUGCAUAGGGGCUCAUUUGAGGAGUCCAGUAACAGCUAGGCUUGGAGUCUAAGAAGGUUCCCUAGAAAGAGCGGUCUCUCAACCUGGAUGAGAGGGAUGAUGGAGUGGGGCAGAUGAAGCUUUGGGCAGGGAAGGUAAGGGGGGAGUUGGAGUGUUCCCUGCAACAGAGUGGCAUGUUGCAGGACCUGGAGCCAGAAUUCUGUGAUUGCAGGACACAAAGGACUCUGUGUGGCUUCAGUGCAGAAUCCAGGGGACAAAGUGGGAACAUGAGGCUGGAGAGGUGAGCGUGGAAGGCCUUGUGUGUCAUUUUUGUUGGGACAAAAUAACAUUUUCAAAGCUGCUUGAAUUUUUACCAGUUGCUCUAGGAGUGAACCAGAAUUCUGGGGGUGCUUUCUUCAAGUUUUUUAUUUAAAGUCUAGUUAGUUAACAGACAGUGUUAUAUUGGCUUCAGGAGUAGAACUUAGUGAUUCCUCACUUACAGACAACACCCAGUGCUCAUCCUGACAAGUGCCCUCCUUAGUGCCCAUCACCCAUCUAGCCCAUUCCCCAUCUAGCCCAUCCCCCACCCGCCUCCCUACAUCACCUGUUUGUUCUCUAUUAUAAGAGUUUCUUAUUGUUUGUUUCACUCUCUUUUUUUUCCCCUUCCCACAAGUUCAUCUUUUCUGUUUCUUAAAUUCCACAUAUGAAUGAAAUCAUGUAUUUGUCUUUCUCUGCCUGACUUAUUUCACUUUGCAUAAUACACUCUGCUCCAUCCGUAUCAUUGCAUAUGGCAAGAUUGCAUUCCUUUUGAUGACUAAGUAAUAUUCUAGUGUGUGUGUGUGUGUGUACAUCUUUAUCCAUUCAUCAGUUGAUGGACAUUUUUUGUCUCUUUAAAAUCAAAAGUCCUGCUGAAGAUUUUUGUUUUGUUUUGUUUUACUUCCAAAUUAAAGUUUAAGUUCUAUUCUAGAAUAUAGGAGUUACCUUCAUUAAGACCAAAAUAAGUGCCUUUUUUACUUUUUUUUUUUUUUUUUUUUUUUUUUGCUUUUUUUACUUCCUACUUUUCUGACUGGACCCACAAUAAGAAAUAUAGUUAGCACCUCCACCCAAUGAACACACAUGUGCACGUACUGGCACAAAACACUUAGCUUUACUACAUGUGAUACAGUCUGAUGGUCUCUAUUCAAUUCCAUUUAGCUUAACACUGAGUCUUGCAACUCACUAAGUUGAUUUCAGUACCCCCAAUUGGUCAUAAACCACAGUUUGGAAAACAGUUAACUUUUUAUGUUAUUAAGCAAGGUGGUUUACCAUCUUUAUGGGAUGAAUUACUUCUCUGCAGAGACUGUGAUGGUCUGAACUGGUUUUUCUCCCACAGCGGUGGUGAGACAUUGAGGAGGUAGGGAAGUGAGAAGUAAGGCAAGGUCAAACAGCAUGGCUCAUGUCAAAGGAUAAAGAGGUUAAGGAAGAUAAGAAUGGAAGCAUAGAUUUAGGAGCAAGGAUGUCUCUGACGUAACUAAGGGGAGAGUCAGAGGCAAGGUAGGGGCAGAAGUGAAAGUCCAGUGGGUCGGGGAGUGAAUAUUGCAUACAGACUACAAUUUCAAGGAGCCAGGUGGGAGGGGUUGGAAAUAAUUUCCUUGAGGCUGGCAUAAGCUCUGAAAGGCUUGUUUUGUUUCAAUAAGAUGCUUUUAAGAAAAUUGACCAAUAGUCUGCUGGAAAGGAGAGAGCUGGUUGGCAAGGGUUUCUGAGGGGGCAUGGCUGAUAGAGCUGAGAACUAGAUGGCCAAUAUCAUGUCUUAAACAUUUCUUUUGAAGAAUUCAUGAAUAAGGUUUUGUUCCGCAUUGGAGCCUGCUAUCAACUAGGCUUUGGGGGAAUUAAGAAAAGGGGCUGUAUGCAUGCUUUGGGUAAACCAGAGCCAAGGACCUCUGCUGCCUGGAGAAGCAGUCAUGAGAUGACAACAGACUGUAGCAGCAGUCUGGAAGGAGAUAAAGGGAUGGACACAUUGGAACGUGCACCCAGGAUGUUUGAAGGGAUAUUUGACUGGACCUCUUUACAAUCUUGUAGGCUGGAGUCAGCUCUGCAGUGUUAGCUUUGGAGCCAAACUCCCAUUAGGGAGUUUAUACUUUAUAUAGGAGCCAUAAGAAGCACUAUUACAUUUUAACAGGGUUUGAGAGGCCAGAGAAGGCAGUCUUCCUAAGACACAGCUUAGAUGGCAUCAUCCUUCCUCUGAUCAAGUACUUGCAGUGGUUUAAAGCUCUCUUAUGGGAAAACUGUUGCAGUCAUACAAUCUGAUCUUGACAAUUCUGUCUAAAGCUACAUUAUAGGAUUUCCUUCAUCAUAUAUUCCAAACUCUUUGGUCUGAGAUUCAAGGCCCCCACCAAUAGGACCAAAAAGAUAGGUGGGGAGGGUUGCUCUGGAUGGUCCCUAUCCUCUAGACUAACUGCUCUGUUGUCCUCCAAGCACUCCUGCUUUUCCCCCCCUCAUGCUAUUUCUUUCAUUUGAGAUGCUUUAAUAAUAUAAUAAUGGGAUGCUGAAUCAUGGCGUUCCAAAAGAUGUCCACGUCCUAAUCCCUGGAAUUUGUAAAUGCUCCCUUACUUGGUGAAGACAUUGCAGAUGUGAUUAAAUUAAGGGUGUUGCCAUGAGGUGAUUAUCCUGGGCCCCAAAUGCCACCAUAGGUGUCUUUAUAAGAGAAAGGUAGAGGGAGAUUCCAUACACACAUACACAGAGGAGAAAGCUGAGCACAAAGAACAUGGAGCAGAGAGAGAUUGCAGAUGCUGAUCUUAUUAAGAUUUGAGUGAUGUGGCCGCAAGCCAAGGAAUCCCAGCAGCCACUAGACACUGGAAGAGGUGAGGAAUGGAUUCUUCUCAGGAGCAUCCAGAGGGAGUCAGCCCUGCUGUUGGACCAUUGGUUUCCAGCACUGGGAGAGGGUAAACACCUGUAGGUAAGCUGCACAGUUUUUGGUCAUUUGUUACAACAGUCACAGGAAACUAUACAGAUGUCCUCAUCCUCAUCUUACUGCUGAUGCUCUGAUGUCCUUCCUUUAAGGCGCAACACUCCCUCUCCCUGUUGACUGCCCACAUAAUUUCAGCAGAAAAUAAUCGUCCUGCACUUGCUGGGUUUGAGGUUCAACCUGCACGUUUGUUAUAAACUCCUGGGUCUAAUUUUACACAUUAUGAAGCUAGGUACUAUGCUAAGAAUCAUGGGACAUAGAGCAGGUGUUCAAGAGCUAGUGAAUGAGAAAUGCUUUGAAAGAUUCUACUCAUUCAUUUGGUUUCUAUGUGCUCAUGACCCUUCAGGUCCACAAGUCUGAAGAGACAGCUUAUGGUUCCUGAUGGGAGUUAUCAUCCUGGAAUCAGGUUUAUCUGGCAGUGCUCAGGAAUGGGCAUGCUAGGGGAAGAAGUGCAGAUUCAGAAUGAACCCCAACUAUGUUUACCCUGCCUUCCCCGAGUCCUUCUUGCUGGAUUCACCAAUGUACCCACAGUCAGGCUCAUCACUGCUUAUGUUCCUGAAUCCACUGUAGCCAAGGCAAAUGACUUACCAAUAGCCUCAGUUCACUGUUGCAGUGAAGCCAACCUUCCCAGACCCUGGGGCCUAACUACACAACUGGGUAUUGGCCUGCCCUCUUGAGUCUCCAGCCAAAUUCCAAAUCAGAGCCCUUCUUACUCUGGGAGUUAGCCCAAUGUGUAAGGCUGAACAUUGGCCAAGAUUCUCUCCUCACUUUGAUUUCUCCCCUGCCAACUUCCACAGCCCUUCUUAGGGCCUGGACCCUGUCCUGAAUCUUAACCCAUGGCUAGGGCUAGGGUACCUCUUUGGAGCCCACCUGUUCUUUCUGUAGGCAUGGAUCCUAGUUUCUGUGCUCUCCACCUGCUAGCCAGGCUCCUGCCAGACUGUCUGUCUUCAGAGUUCAGACACCACCUGGGAUCAUUGCCUGCCAUGGAAUGAUGGUCUGUAACCAUUGCCCAAGUGGCUGUGCCCUUGGACAUAGUGGAGCCUGCAGUGCAGCCAGUGAGAACAGCCAGGUAGCCUAACCACCCCACCUCAUCCUCCUUUUCUGGACAUUGAUUUUAUGAGCACCAGGAGAUUCUAAGCACCAUUGAUUUUCUGAGAACCAUUGAUCUUGAACCAUGUGUCUGUUCACUUGGGCCCAUCUAAUCUCUAACAAAUCUACUACUUCAUGGUGGUUAAGAACAUGGAAUAGGGGGGAAUCCUUUGGUGUGUUACUUCGCCUGAGUAUAUUGCAAUUUCUUUGUCUCUACAAUGGGGGUGUAGUGACAAAACAUACCUCCCAAGGAUGUUGGGAAGAUUGGAUUUGAUUCUGGCCAUAAAACACUUUCUCCAUAAGGCAUUGUGCUAAGUGAUCAAUAAAUACAAGUGUUUGCAGUUGCCUUUCUAGAUCACAAGGCUGGAAACUUGAAAAGUUAUUUGUUUUGUAUCAAAAACUUCAAUCAUUUUUCUCUGCUAAUCUUUAGAAUCCUCAUGAAAAAGCAUAUAAAUCUAAUUUUUUUGAGCAAUACAGUUUACUGAAACCAAAUGGUAUUUAAGUGAAAUAAAGUAUAAAAUAGUGGACACAGAAGAAUGCUUUUGACUGUCAUUGAGUGUUUGGUACAAGAUUUUUACCUCCAAAAUAGGACAUCUACAAGCAUCUGUCUUUGGCCCGCAUUAGCACUCCCAUUUGAAGAGAUGUUUUCUAAGAUAUCAGAAGCUCCUUUCAGUUGCUAGGCAAGAAAAAAAAAGCAAAGCAUGACAUAUUAGCUUCAGAUUUGAAAUAAGCAGAGAUCUUCUCAGGAUCUGUACUGAGCUGUAAAACUAAAUCCAGAUGUGAUGUGACUUGGUGGUCGGAAAGUGAAGCCAAGAAGGGUUGCAUAUUUUUAUGUGAUAACUGCCCUCUGGUGGGAAAGACUAGAAUUACACUGAUAAGAGAAAACUAUCUGAAAUUCUAAAGGAGCAAUUCUUACUCAUCUUGCCUUUUGACUUCAUAUUCCAAAUAAAAGUCCUCAUACACUAAACCCGUUUUACUCUUUGGUCUAAACUUUGAAGGUUUUAGUUCAUUCUUAUUGGGAGGGGGGAGCAAGAUGAAGAUUGGGAAAUUUUUAAAGAAUAAAUGUUUAACCCUUGCUUUCUGAUUGAAAACUGCCAAGCGUAAACUGUGCUGAUUCUACAUAAAUAUAGCUAAAGAGGCAUAAUAGUAGUGUGAUUAAAGGAACUGUUUUUAGGAAAAUAAAAACCUAUAUUGAUUCCUCACUCCAUUUGCUCCAGGGCAAGUCAGAACCUUUCUAAGACUUAAUUUCUUCUAUGCCAGGAAGAUGGGAAAAAUACAUAUACCUCCUAAGGUUGUUUUGAGGAUUAGAAGGGAUAUCAAACACUUAGAAUAGAACCCAACACAUAGGAAGUGCUCAACAAAUGUUAGAUAUUAUUAUUUGUAACACACAAGAGGAAUGAAGCUCUUUGAGGGGAAAGCCGACCCAUUUCGGUCAGUAGUGGCUAUUUUUAAAAGAAUAGCACGUAACAUUGCCCAUAUUUCUUUAAACAUUAAUCAAGGUCUUGGCAAAUAUAAGAUGUUACUGGGUAACUCUACAAGCCACUAAUUCUGUGCAGAUAAGGUUCAGACCAAACCAGACCCUGGGAGCAAUGUACUAAAGCUGCACUAUCACACCAGGACUGUCUUUAUCAGCUAAGAUCAAAUGAUUUUUUUCCCCUUUUGACAAUUUGCUUUUAAGCCCUUUGGUGGUAUUAACAUUACUUUUUAGUAGCUGAGCAACUAAGCUUGAGAAACUCAAGCCUGCUUUUUUAACCUGAGGGAAAUUCCAAGGAAAUUGGAAUUUCUACAGCUUGCUCACAAAUGGUUCCUGGGGGGUUGUGAGAUAUUUCUGCCACAACAUGGUGUAACUGAGAGGUCAGAUAAGGAUGUCGCAUUAAAGAAAAUGCAGGAUUGGACAUAGUAGGGUGGAGAGUAGCAUGAAGAACCAGCAGUGAGGUGCAGAGAUAGAAGCCAGGAUCCUAAUUAGCUUUGUAACCCCGGGAAGAUCAUUGUAAACUCAUAAACCUCAUUUUCAACUGGAAAAGAGAACGAGGGACUGCACUAAACUUAUAAGGUCUCCUUCAAAUUAAAAAAAAAAAUUUAUGAAGGAGAAAAGAAAAAGAAAAACAGAAAAGACUUAGGGAGUAUGCUGAUUUUUUAUGUAUAUAUAUAUGUGUGUGUGUGUGUGUGUGUG